rnacentral:rRNA from 1 species
UACGUAGGGGGCAAGCGUUGUCCGGAUUUACUGGGCGUAAAGAGCGUGUAGGCGGCCAAACAGGUCCGCUGUGAAAACUGGAGGCUUAACCUCCAGACGUCGACGGAAACCGUAUGGCUAGAGUCCGGAAGAGGAGAGUGGAAUUCCUGGUGUAGCGGUGAAAUGCGCAGAUAUCAGGAAGAACACCAAUGGCGAAGGCAGCUCUCUGGGACGGUACUGACGCUGAGACGCGAAAGCGUGGGGAGCGAACAGG